UACGAAGGUGGCAAGCGUUACUCGGAAUUACUAGGCGUAAAGGGCAGGUAGGCGGUUUGAUAAGUCUGUUGUGUCAGCUCCUGGCUUAACUGGGAGAGGUCAACGGAAACUAUCAGGCUUGAGUGUAGGAGAGGAUACUGGAAUUCCUGGUGUAGCGGUGAAAUGCGCAGAUAUCAGGAGGAACACCAAUGGCGAAGGCGGCUUCCUGGACCGACACUGACGCUGAGGCGCGAAAGCUAGGGGAGCAAACGGG
rnacentral:rRNA from 1 species